UGUCUGUGACCUUGAAGAGCAUGGAGAGAGGCAGCCACAAAAUGUGGAGAAGUUGAGGAUGUGGACGUGGGAAGUGGAUCUCGACUUCAUUCUCCCUGGGACAACCUCUGUCCAAAAAGUCAUCACAUCAUGAUGCUAGUUGGCUCCUCAUAUCCUACCAUCCUGGUCAGACUCCCUGAAGUGAAGACCCUGAGGCUACCCUCAGAUGCCUCUGCUGCAGGGAUCAGAGGUAGACUUCAGGUUCUAGCCUCCCUGUGGACACAGGGGAUCGUACACUGAGUUCUGGUAUGUAGAAUGGGUAGAGGCCCAUGAGAACAUUGUUGGCAAUACCUUUUG